rnacentral:rRNA from 1 species
AGCUCCAAUAGCGUAUAUUAAAGUUGUUGCAGUUAAAAAGCUCGUAGUUGGAUUUCUGGCAGGGUGACUCUGCCCUCAGCAGAGCGGCCGGAGUGGCCCUACCAUCCUUCUGUUAACCUUUUAGGCUUUUACCGUCUAUCUGGGGCUCAGAUAUUUUACCUUGAGAAAAUUAGAGUGUUUCAGGCAGGCUAGCGCCGGAAUACAUUAGCAUGGAAUAAUGGAAUAGGACUUUUACCUCUUCUGUUGGUCAAAGGGGUUCGAGUAAUGAUUAAUAGGGAUAGUUGGGGGCAUUAGUACUUAACUGUCAGAGGUGAAAUUCUCGGAUUUGUUAAAGACUAACUUAUGCGAAAGCAUUUGCCAAGGAUG